GUUAUUUCUUGUCACGCUUCAGCCUUGGAAAAAUAUUUGUUUACUGACCACUUAUGAACCUGCCACUUACCAGCUAACGUGUAAUGUUCUGCACUUAAAGUACUGUACUGGCACUCACAGUAACGGCAACCUACCUGGAGACCCAUUUACCUGAGCAUUACUGGGUGAUUUGAGGCUCUACUCUACAUGUAGUAUAUCCCUAAUAUAUUAAUCACUCAUAUAUAUUAAUCACUCAUAGCCUAAGCAGAGUUUGCUUGCAACCCUAUAAUUAAAACACAUCCUAUGCCUGAGGCUUAGGGGACUUUUGCUCAAGACAUACUUCUGCUUUAACACAGACACAUUCUGUCCAGGUCAAAGCAGAUUCUAACCGCAUAAGCAACUGUAGGACACCAAAGUCAUGAGGACAUCAUAUGUAUCCCUGUCAAAACAGGGAAACUCCCUAGUCUGAAGCGCCAACUGUCAGCCCAAGUUCCCCCUAUCUCAUGGCCUCUUGACCCACACAUUGACACGCACACACAUUAUAGCGCACGAACGCACACACACCCCACACUCAUUUCAACUGACAUCCCUGGACACACAAACCCCUACUUGCGCCACUGUCAAUUUCAGUUCCCCUUAUCUCAAUUGUCUUGACACACACAGACACACAGACAUCUCAACGCACACACACCCCACACUCCGUUCAACAGAGCAGGGGCCAGGAUCAGACGACUUCAAGAAGCACCAAUGGGGCACCGGCAAAGGGUCGGACAGGACCUGCCUCCAACCUUCACCAACCAGUCAGAAGACAGAACUACAAGAAUCAACCUACGUCAUUCUAUGUUCAAAUACCUUUGCACACUCUGUUUAGGCAUCCUUUUUUCAGCUGACUCCUUCUGAGCCAAAUGAGAGGAUCCGUGCACGCUUUGUAUCAGAC